AUUGAACGCUGGCGGCAGGCCUAACACAUGCAAGUCGAACGAGUGGCGGACGGGUGAGUAAUGUCUGGGAAACUGCCCGAUGGAGGGGGAUAACUACUGGAAACGGUAGCUAAUACCGCAUACCAUCGGAUGUGCCCAGAUGGGAGUAGAUUGUAGGUGAGGUAACGGCUCACCUAGGCGACGAUCCCUAGCGGGUCUGAGAGGAUGACCAGCCAAACUGGAACGGAGAAACGGUCCAGACUGCGACGGGAGGAAGCAGUGGGGAAUAUUGCAAAAUGGGCGCAAGACUGAUGGAGCCCUGCGGCGUGUAUGAAUAAGGCCUUCGGGUUGUAAAGUACUUUCAGCGGGGAGGCGUUACCCGCAGAAGAAUCACCGGCUAACUCCAUGCCAGCAGCCGCGGUAAUUC
rnacentral:rRNA from 1 species